CUCCAUGUACACUGAGUCAUGGAGCAAAAUCCCUUUCCUUCAUAAUGUCUGCGUGUGCCAGAAGCUGCGUGAGCUUCUGAAGGUAGAACAAAAAUCAAGAUGUGAUCCCUGACUUGAAGAGUUUGGAUCCUACCAGAGGAACAAUCCAAGGCAGAAAGUGCUGAGUGCCACAUCAGCGGCAGCAGAGAAAGGACUAAGGGAGCCUGGUAGAGACAGCGUUCAUGUCUGCUAUUGGGGAUCAGGGAAGAGUCGUGGUAGAACAGCCACAGUCCGUGACGGGAGAAGUGCAUCAUGAGAAAAGAGACCCAGGAGAGCAACUGACUGAAGUGCUCUUGGAAUGACGACUUCAGUUUGCUGGUGCAUUGGGUCAAAGCACCGGGGAAACAUGGUUGAGUGCCCGGGCUGGAGAGAAGAACACAGUGGUUCCAUGCUCAGGGCUCAAGUCAUCCUCUGGAGUCAUUGGCCAUUUCCUGCAGGCUGGGGAGGUGGUGACAGCCACGCAAAUGGUGGAGAUCAUCUUGAGUUUACCACUGGUCCAAGUCCAUGGAGUUGGGUUACUUGGAUAUGGGCACCCCCAUAUGUCUAAUGCCUUCCAAGAUAUUAAGUGUCAUGUAAACGCAGCACUUCCCCUUCUGCCCAUGAGUGUCUGUUGUCACCUGUCAGAAGGCAAUGCCAUAGGCUGUUUAUUUGAUGUGGAGACAAGAUACCACAUCUUCCUGGAGCCUUUCAACUUCUUAAGUUGUGAUCCUGGACAGCAGCGGUGCUGCAAUAUCUGGAACUACCAAAGAACAUUAAUGGAAGAAUGAGGGAUUGUUGGGGACAUGACCUCAUAGGAUGGGUACAGCAGAGAUGUUUAAAGAUUUGGGAUCUAGAGGUACAAAUUGCCUUUCCAUGGUCAGAGAAAGGUCCUGGAGCUGGAUAGAACCUGACGGUCUGGUCUUCCCUACCAAAUUCUGCUGUGUGUAUGGGAAUGGCUACCCUUUAUGCUAGAGCCUGCCCCAAGGCUGUGUCAGCUCUACUUUAAAAACCAACUUGAAAUGGUGGAUGCUUGACAGACACUAUUAUCCCCACUCCAACGAUGAGAACACUGAGGUCAAGGAUUUGGCUCAAGGUCAUCCCGCAAGGUCUUGUUGGAGGCAGAAAUAGCAUCUGAGCCUUCACUCCUAAUCCAGCUCUCAUUGCUUGUUGCGGUGUGCCAUGGCUGAAGUUACACGAUGAGGCAUCUAUCUAAACCAGAGAGCCAAGUUCUGGGUUCAUGUUACGUCUUUCUAUUCCUUCACUUGGCCUCCCACUGCUGGCUCAGAGCAGUUCCUUGCUCUGAUCUAUUGGUUUUUUCUUAGGCUGGAGAGAGUUACCACACUUCCUGAUCCUGACCUCCAGUGGAGGAGGGUGGAACCUAACGGCAUCAUUUGGAUCAUACUUGACUCCAGCGAUUGCUCCAAACUUGAAGAGCAGCGAGUGGAGAAUUUGUCUUUUAACCCUAUCAAGUGACCUGGUCUUUAACGCGUGAUUGGCAAUAAUGGAGGAGAUUCAGACAACCAUCCCGUCACAGCUUCCUGCUGGAGAGGCAGCAAGAAGCUAGGACUUAAACUCUGAGGGCAGAGUAUCCUGGAUUCACACCCCGACUCUGUUGUUUCCUGGUUGUGUGGCCUUCGGCAAGUCCCUGAACAUCGCGGUAGCUCAAUUUCCUGGUUUGUAAGAUGGGUGAAAAGAAUUCCUUAGGAUGAGGUAAUCUGGGCAAAGUUCCUGUCAUGUAAGAGAUAUUCAGGAAAUAUUGGUUUCUUCACUCCUCCCCACGCCACACACGUGUUGAAUACAGUAACUUUAUUUUCACCACCACCUUACAAGAAACAAUGGCACGCCUAGGUAAGCUGAGUGACUCAAGAGCUAGCAAAAAACUAAGUCUUUGGAGUUAGCUACGUUGCAUGCCAAGUGUAAAUUUCCCAUUAAUGGGCUUUAAGUAUAUUAAUGGGAGAAUUUUUGUGCUCCUUGGAUGGAAAAAAAAUACAACAUUUUGUGCCUCUGGUAUCUGAGAGGAAGCCCUGAGACAGAUGGGUUCCCAUAAGUUGUGCAUCGUGAAUGCAAGGAAACUUCAUUCUUCUUACACUACCAGGCAGUCGAUCCAAAAUGGGGAAAAACUCUUUACAUGAAAGCAUGCAAUUACAUGCCAUACCCUGCAAUUCUAAUUACUGAUGACUUAAAUUGAAGCACAGCCUUUUACAUAGGAGUUUUAUGAUCAAGAAUUAAGAAAUUUAAAAAUAUUAUGGGGCCGGCUGAUGGCGCAGCAGUUAAGUUCGCACAUUCCACUUUGAUGGCCC